AUUGAACGCUGGCGGCAUGCCUUACACAUGCAAGUCGAACGGCAGCACGGGAGCAAUCCUGGUGGCGAGUGGCGAACGGGUGAGUAAAGUAUCGGAACGUGCCCAGUCGUGGGGGAUAACGUAGCGAAAGUUACGCUAAUACCGCAUACGAUCUAUGGAUGAAAGCGGGGGAUCGCAAGACCUCGCGGGAUCGGAGCGGCCGAUAUCAGAUUAGCUAGUUGGUGGGGUAAAGGCUCACCAAGCCGACGAUCUGUAGCUGGUCUGAGAGGACGACCAGCCACACUGGGACUGAGACACGGCCCAGACUCCUACGGGAGGCAGCAGUGGGGAAUUUUGGACAAUGGGCGAAAGCCUGAUCCAGCCAUGCCGCGUGCAGGAUGAAGGCCUUCGGGUUGUAAACUGCUUUUGUACGGAACGAAAAGGUUUGGCCUAAUAAGCUGAGCUCAUGACGGUACCGUAAGAAUAAGCACCGGCUAACUACGUGCCAGCCGCCGCCGUAA
rnacentral:rRNA from 1 species